AUUGAACGCUGGCGGCAGGCCUAACACAUGCAAGUCGAGCGGAGCGGCGGACGGGUGAGUAAUGCCUAGGAAUCUGCCUGGUAGUGAGGGAUAACGUCCGGAAACGGGCGCUAAUACAGCAUACUAUGAGAUGAGACUAGGUCGGAUUAGCUAGUUGGUGGGGUAAAGGCCUACCAAGGCGACGAUCAGUAACUGGUCUGAGAGGAUGAUCAGGCAAACUGUAACUGAGACACGGUCCAGCCUCCGACGGUCGGCAGCAGUGGGGAAUAUGGGACAAUGGGCGAAAGCCUGAUCCAGCCAGGCCGCGUGUGUGAAGAAGGUCUUCGGAUUGUAAAGCACUUUAAGUUGGGAGGCGUUACCAACAGAAUAAGCACCGGCUAACUUCGUGCCAGGAGCCGCGGUAAUAC
rnacentral:rRNA from 1 species